rnacentral:tRNA from 6 species
GCCGCAGUAACUCAGUUGGUAGAGUAGCUGAUUCGUAAUCAGCAAGUCGGAGGUUCGACUCCUCUCUGCGGCACCA